AAUAUUGCGCAAUGGAGGGAACUCUGACGCAGCGACGCCGCGUGAGCGAUGAAGGUUUUCGGAUCGUAAAGCCCUGUCCUUGGGGAAGAAGGCGGUCCUUUCUAGCCACUUGACGGUACCCUAAGCUGAAGCACCGGAUAACUACGCGCUCGCAGCCGCGGUAAAGCGUAGGGGGCAAGCGUUGUCCGGAAUUAUUGGGCGUAAAGGGUGCGUAGGCGGCCUUUUAAGGCAGAAGUGAAAGACCACGGCUUAACCGUGGGGUUGCAUUUGAAACUGGAGGGCUUGAGUAUCGGAGAGGGUAGUGGAAUUCCCAGUGUAGCGGUGGAAUGCGUAGAUAUUGGGAGGAACACCAGUGGCGAAGGCGACUACCUGGACGAAAACUGACGCUGAGGCACGAAAGCUAGGGGAGCAAACA
rnacentral:rRNA from 1 species